rnacentral:rRNA from 1 species
ACUCAAAUGAAUUGACGGGGACCUGCACAAGUGGUGGAACAUGCGGUUUAAUUCGAUGUUACGCGAAAAACCUUACCAACUCUUGACAUAGUGGUCGCGGGGCUCGGAAACGAGUCUCUUCAGUUCGGCUGGACCACAUACAGGUGUUGCAUGGCUGUCGUCAGCUCGUGUUGUGAGAUGUUAGGUUAAGUCCUGCAACGAGCGCAACCCCUAUCCUUAUUUGCCAGCGGGUAAUGCCGGGAACUAUAAGGAAACCGCCAGUUAUAAACUGGAGGAAGGUGGGGAUGAAGUCAGGUCAGCAUGGCCCUUAAGGGUUGGGCUACACGCGUGUUACAAUGGUGGGGACAAAGGGAAGCGAUAGAGCGAUCUGGAGCAAAUCUCAAAAAAUCCACCUCAGUUCGGAUUGUACCCUGCAACUCGGGUGCAUGAAGUUGGAAUCACUAGUAAUCGUAGAUCAGCACGCUACGGUGAAUACGUUCACAGGUCUUGUACACACCGCCCGU